GGCAGUGCAAAAGUUAGCAGCAUUCCGGGAUAACAUAAGGAGUCCUGGUGGGAGGAUGUACCCCUUUGAAAAUCUGAAUCUCCCCUCAGGAAACGAGGAAGACCAGUGCUCUGAUGAUGAUGAUCUCCCCUUAGCAAAUAUGGAAGACCAUUUCUUUGACGAUGAG